CUUCUCUCUCCCCUCUCUCCUUCGUUCCAUUCCACCCUCGUCGCGCUUCGGAGAAGCCAGAAAACUUCCGAACCCACGAAAAGCCGCCAUCUUUGAUCAAUCCUCUGCCCCCGCCCGUGUCCGUGCGGCGCCGCCAGAGCCGGGAGCCUCAGGCGAGUAUCUUCGUGGGUCUUGGCUGGCGCGGCCGGGGUGCUGCGGUGCGCUAUUCUGGCGGUUUCCGGUUCGUGCGAGGGCGGGAAUUUCGCUUCGCUGAGGUCACCUUGCCCGUUGGAUUCGUCUCUCUCGCCGUGGCUCAGGAUACAAUGGCUGCUGUUGAAUGUUGAUGAAAUUUGUUCAUAGAUACUGAACCGCCAUCUCAAUUAAAUGAAACACAGCACAGCGGUGUGUACCAAUAGUUUGAAACACGUUAGCAAUGAGUUGUUGUUUUAACUUUUUCAAGAGGAAAAGGGGGCCCCAACAACAAGAUGAUCCAUCUAACGAUUGCUUCACUGGUGCUAAGAAUAUAAUAAGAUACAGCUAUAGGGAGCUGGCUAGAGCAACAGCAAAUUUUGACCAAGCCAAUAAGAUUGGUGAGGGAGGUUAUGGGCCUGUCUACAAGGGAACACUAAAGGAUGGAACAGCUAUUGCAGUAAAGGUUCUGUCUUUACAUUCUGGACAAGGUGCAAAGGAGUUUCUUAAUGAGCUGCUUGCAAUCUCUGAUGUAGUACAUGAGAAUCUUGUCAAACUCUAUGGCUGCUGUGUAGAAGGAAGCCACAGGAUCCUUGUUUACAAUUAUCUUGAAAAUAAUAGUCUUGCACAUACCCUUCUAGGUUCAGGCAAUAGCAACAUCCAAUUCAACUGGAGAACUCGAGUAAACAUUUGCCUAGGUGUUGCCCAGGGAUUAGCAUUCCUCCAUGAUAGUGCGUGCCCUCACAUUGUUCACCGCGACAUCAAAGCGAGCAACAUACUUCUUGAUAAGGAUCUUACACCAAAAAUCUCUGAUUUUGGUUUGGCAAAGCUUCUGCCUUCGGACGUAUCACAUGUUAGCACAAGAGUCGCGGGAACACUAGGUUACUUGGCUCCUGAAUAUGCCAUUAGAGGACAAGUGACACGGAAGGCAGAUGUUUACAGCUAUGGCGUUCUGCUUAUAGAAAUAGUCAGUGGAAGAUGCAACACCGAUGAGAGAUUGCCCUAUGAUGACCAGUUUCUUCUUGAGAAGACAUGGAGAUAUUACGACCAUGGCUAUCCGGAGAAGAUCAUAGACAGUUCCCUGGGCGACGACCUGGACGCCGACGAAGCCUGCAGAUUCCUGAAGGUCGGGCUCCUGUGCACCCAGGAUGUCACAAAGCGCAGGCCGAGCAUUUCCACGGUGAUCUCCAUGCUGAAAGGCGAGGUGGACGUGGGAACGGAGAUGAUCAGCAAGCCCGACAUGAUCAGAAACUUCAGGGACCUCAAGCUCCGGAGCAAGGCCACGUCCUCCACGCUGCUGACCUCCAUCAUGGCGCGCUCUUCACCGCUGUCGUCUGAAGAGACGACACGGACCUCCAUCACUUUCACAGCGAUAUCGGACCGCGACUGAUCGUCGAUGAGGUUGUCUUGAUUGCAGAAGUGCAAGAACUUCAACUGUGUAGCGGAAAACGUAGCAUGGACCAGAAUUUUUUUGGUGGUUGUAUGAUUUGUGUGGAUAGAUUUACGUCACCCCAGUGAUAGUGCAUGAAGAAGUUGGUGAGCCAGCCAGAGCUUCAGAGACAGAAUUAACCUGUGAAGUAAAAAAUCUCAAACAUGGAUCCAGGCGCAGUGAAGUUAGGUCAGCGCAGAGGCUGCGCUGGUGUCUCGCCGGCGUCCGACACGCGCGCAGGCCUUGGAUCGGGCAGGCAGGCACAGGCAGCAUCACGACGCAGGCCGGCGCUGUGCUCUGAGGAUUCUAACGUGCAUGCAUGGCUGGCCACAGGGCGCGCGGCAGCCGCCAGGAAGUGUCCUCCCCUGCAUCAGCACUCGCCAUCACCGCCACUAUGCCCAGUGCCCGCCGUCCCGGCCUGCACAUACAUGAAGAUGCCUUCGUCUUGGAAGCGUGAUUACUGAUUAGCGUGCUGCCGUGCUCCUGUGUGUCACUGACAGGCUGGGCCCACUCGAGCUGGUUGGUAUGCUGGGCCUGCAUGAGUGUGACCUGUGGCUCAACCGCAGAAAGUGCGCACUGGCAAAGACAGGAAGGCCUGGGGCUUUAGGCAUGUGGAUCCACUAAGGAUUUCUUUUUGCAACUAAUAAUAACAAUUACCUCCUCUCCAAAUUUUUUUUUCUCCUUUUACUAGUAUGCUGCACGUGCUUUGCACAUCAGAUGCGGGAACGCGCAGAACCCACACAGUAGGGCGCGUGAAGUUGUGGGAGUGCGCAAGACUUAGAGCAGAGCUCACGGAAGGUAGCAACACCAGUCGUGCGGAUGGGAGCGAGUGGAGGCGGCGCUCUCUCGACGACGGUGGCACCCUCCUUGCGAAAGUGGAGGAGGAGGCGAUAGAGGUGGCGUGGAUCGAGCGAGCGGGGAUUGAGGCGCGGAGCAGGGUGGCUUGCAGCGAAGCGGCGAGUAGGGGAACGGCGGCGGGGAGGGGGAGGAGAGGUCCGGGGUGUGGGCCGAACUGGUGAACGGGGAGGAAAUCGAGUAUUUAUCGAGUGAUAUGAGUUGGAUAAUUUCUACGAAGUUUAGAUGUAGUCUGCAAGAUGUGAAGGUAGAUCAUGUAAGGUUGAGAAUGGACCAUUACAUAUUUUUUAAAUAGUAGAGAUACUCCUAUUUAGAAAGAAGAAUGCAUGUACAUGCACAUUAUAUUGGUCCAAGCAAUACUCUUGUAUUAAUCUACAUAUAAAUACUCAACAUAUGUUGCUUUGAUAUUUUUUUACUA